UCGAACGCCCCGCAAGGGGAGUGGCAGACGGGUGAGUAACGCGUGGGAAUCUACCGUGCCCUGCGGAAUAGCUCCGGGAAACUGGAAUUAAUACCGCAUACGCCCUACGGGGGAAAGAUUUAUCGGGGUAUGAUGAGCCCGCGUUGGAUUAGCUAGUUGGUGGGGUAAAGGCCUACCAAGGCGACGAUCCAUAGCUGGUCUGAGAGGAUGAUCAGCCACAUUGGGACUGAGACACGGCCCAA
rnacentral:rRNA from 1 species